UUGAUGUUCUAACGUGGACCCGUGAUCCGGGUUGCGGACAGUGUCUGGUGGGUAGUUUGACUGGGGCGGUCUCCUCCUAAAGAGUAACGGAGGAGCACGAAGGUUGGCUAAUCCUGGUCGGACAUCAGGAGGUUAGUGCAAUGGCAUAAGCCAGCUUGACUGCGAGCGUGACGGCGCGAGCAGGUGCGAAAGCAGGUCAUAGUGAUCCGGUGGUUCUGAAUGGAAGGGCCAUCGCUCAACGGAUAAAAGGUACUCCGGGGAUAACAGGCUGAUACCGCCCAAGAGUUCAUAUCGACGGCGGUGUUUGGCACCUCGAUGUCGGCUCAUCACAUCCUGGGGCUGAAGUAGGUCCCAAGGGUAUGGCUGUUCGCCAUUUAAAGUGGUACGCGAGCUGGGUUUAGAACGUCGUGAGACAGUUCGGUCCCUAUCUGCCGUGGGCGCUGGAGAACUGAGGGGGGCUGCUCCUAGUACGAGAGGACCGGAGUGGACGCAUCACUGGUGUUCGGGUUGUCAUGCCAAUGGCACUGCCCGGUAGCUAAAUGCGGAAGAGAUAAGUGCUGAAAGCAUCUAAGCACGAAACUUGCCCCGAGAUGAGUUCUCCCUGAGACUUAGAGUCUCCUGAAGGAACGUUGAAGACGACGACGUUGAUAGGCCGGGUGUGUAAGCGCAGCGAUGCGUUGAGCUAACCGGUACUAAUGAACCGUGAGGCUUAACCUUACA
rnacentral:rRNA from 1 species